rnacentral:rRNA from 1 species
GACAGAGGUGCCAAGCGUUAGGCGGAAUCACUGGGCUUAAAGCGUGUGUAGGCGGGUGCCUAAGUACCUUGUGAAAUCCCACGGCUCAACCGUGGAACGGCUGGGUAUACUGGGUGCCUUGGGUCAUCCAGGGGUUGCCGGAGCAAAUGGUGGAGCGGUGAAAUGCGUAGAUAUCAGGAGGAACACCGGUGGCGAAGGCGGGUCUCUGGGCAACAACUGACGCUGAGGAGCGAAAGCGUGGGGAGCGAACAGG